UACAGAGGGUGCGAGCGUUGUCCGGAAUUACUGGGCGUAAAGCGCGCGUAGGCGGACCUGCAAGUCGGGGGUGAAAGCCCGAGGCUCAACCUCGGAACUGCCUUCGAUACUGCGGGUCUCGAGUCCGGGAGAGGUGAGUGGAAUUCCUAGUGUAGAGGUGAAAUUCGUAGAUAUUAGGAAGAACACCAGUGGCGAAGGCGGCUCACUGGCCCGGUACUGACGCUGAGGCGCGAAAGGCGUGGGGAGCAAACAGG
rnacentral:rRNA from 1 species